UCGGACGUCGUGCAAGGCGCACCUCUGCUCCCAAUGCGAGAUGAUUCCACAUUAAUAUUGCGGCAGAAAUCUAAUCGGGGUUCGAUUCCCCGCGUCCGAA